rnacentral:rRNA from 1 species
GCAGUCGAGCGGACAGAUGGGAGCUUGCUCCCUGAUGUUAGCGGCGGACGGGUGAGUAACACGUGGGUAACCUGCCUGUAAGACUGGGAUAACUCCGGGAAACCGGGGCUAAUACCGGAUGCUUGUUUGAACCGCAUGGUUCAAACAUAAAAGGUGGCUUCGGCUACCACUUACAGAUGGACCCGCGGCGCAUUAGCUAGUUGGUGAGGUAAUGGCUCACCAAGGCAACGAUGCGUAGCCGACCUGAGAGGGUGAUCGGCCACACUGGGACUGAGACACGGCCCAGACUCCUACGGGAGGCAGCAGUAGGGAAUCUUCCGCAAUGGACGAAAGUCUGACGGAGCAACGCCGCGUGAGUGAUGAAGGUUUUCGGAUCGUAAAGCUCUGUUGUUAGGGAAGAACAAGUACCGUUCGAAUAGGGCGGUACCUUGACGGUACCUAACCAGAAAGCCACGGCUAACUACGUGCCAGCAGCCGCGGUAAUACGUAGGUGGCAAGCGUUGUCCGGAAUUAUUGGGCGUAAAGGGCUCGCAGGCGGUUCCUUAAGUCUGAUGUGAAAGCCCCCGGCUCAACCGGGGAGGGUCAUUGGAAACUGGGGAACUUGAGUGCAGAAGAGGAGAGUGGAAUUCCACGUGUAGCGGUGAAAUGCGUAGAGAUGUGGAGGAACACCAGUGGCGAAGGCGACUCUCUGGUCUGUAACUGACGCUGAGGAGCGAAAGCGUGGGGAGCGAACAGGAUUAGAUACCCUGGUAGUCCACGCCGUAAACGAUGAGUGCUAAGUGUUAGGGGGUUUCCGCCCCUUAGUGCUGCAGCUAACGCAUUAAGCACUCCGCCUGGGGAGUACGGUCGCAAGACUGAAACUCAAAGGAAUUGACGGGGG